rnacentral:rRNA from 1 species
AUGGUGGAAGAUGCGUGUGCCAAAAAACAAGGAGGAAUGGGAUUUUGAGAUAUACACUGAUUCAAUUUGGCUUUGUUAGCCAAACAAGCGCGACACCUCCUUGAUAAUCCUGAUUCCCUAUGUGCCACCAUUUUGAGAGCUAAAUAUUUUCCAGAUGGAGACUUAAUGAAUGCGAGUCUUAAAAAUGGACCUUCUUUCACAUGGCAAAGCAUUAUGGCGGGAGUGGAUUCUCUCAAAAAUGGUUAUAUUUGGAGAGUUGGAAAUGGACAAAAUAUUGAUAUUUGGAGAGAUGCAUGUCUCCCGAAUGGGGCCAAUAGGAAAAUUAUCACUCCUAGAAGAGGGAAACUUCUAUAAAAAGUUGCUGAUCUUAUAGAUCCAGUUAACAAUUGCUGGGAUGAAGAUUUGGUGAGACAUACGCUGUGGAUUGAUGCUCACAGGGUGCUUGCGAUCGCCCUCCCCAUGUAUAACAUGUCGGAUUUCAUUGGUUGGAGUUUUACAAAGAAUGGAGUGUUCAAGGUUCGUUCUGCUUAUCUGGAGGAAUGGAAAAAGCAACAUGGGAGGAAAUUGCAACACACAAAUGGUAUGGGAGGAAUAAAUGUCAAUACUAUUUGGACUAAGAUUUGGAAAUUAUCUUGUCCAGCAAAGGUGAAGAUUUUUAUUUGGCAUUGA